AACAACGAAGCUUCUGAAUUUGUGAAUUAGACCCGAGGGUUUGGCGAGUAACUGGGGAAACUGAGGAAGCCUACUCAUCUGAAAAGGUAGCAAGUUUUCAGCUCUUACUGGAACUUCUGUGAGGCACCGCCCAUACAUAAUCAUAUGGGAAACAACCUCAAGUAUUUGAUCAAAAUAAGUGGUAUUUAGAGAAUGACAGGAGCAUACUGU